UUCUUUUUCCUCAACAGGAGUCAGUGAACUUAUUCUACAAGGGUGGGGUAGAUUCCUUAUUUUCAACCUCAGAGACCAAAGACUCAGCCCAGUGACAAGUAGAAUUAUCUGAAAAUCACUGAAACUCCUGAUGCCUGAUGGACCUGAGCUAAAACCUCAAUGGUCCCGUGAUGCUGUCAUGCUCCAGGGCAAGAUAACACCAGCUGAAGACCUCCUGGGGAGUAACACAAUCUUCAUCUGCAUGGUUCCUCAUUGUUCUAGGAUUUUCGCUGGCAUUGCCCUGAGUCACUGUUACCCUGCUGCCCCGAGUCACCUGUUACACUUGUUAUUACCCAUGUAACGAAUAAAGAUAUAUCAAGC
rnacentral:lncRNA from 1 species